UACGGAGGAUGCGAGCGUUAUCCGGAUUUAUUGGGUUUAAAGGGUGCGUAGGCGGGCUUUUAAGUCAGCGGUAAAAAUUCGGGGCUCAACCCCGUCCGGCCGUUGAAACUGGAGGCCUUGAGUGGGCGAGAAGAAGGCGGAAUGCGUGGUGUAACGGUGAAAUGCAUAGAUAUCACGCAGAACCCCGAUUGCGAAGGCAGCCUUCCGGCGCCCUACUGACGCUGAGGCACGAAAGUGCGGGGAGCAAACAGG
rnacentral:rRNA from 1 species